GACGAACGCUGGCGGCGUGCUUAACACAUGCAAGUCGAACGGAAAGGCCCUGCUUUUGUGGGGUGCUCGAGUGGCGAACGGGUGAGUAACACGUGAGUAACCUGCCCUUGACUUUGGGAUAACUUCAGGAAACUGGGGCUAAUACCGGAUAGGAGCUCCUGCUGCAUGGUGGGGGUUGGAAAGUUUCGGCGGUUGGGGAUGGACUCGCGGCUUAUCAGCUUGUUGGUGGGGUAGUGGCUUACCAAGGCUUUGACGGGUAGCCGGCCUGAGAGGGUGACCGGGCACAAUGGGCCUGAGGGAGGGCCCAGACUGCAACGGGAGGCAGCGGUGGGGAGUAUUGCACAGUGGGCGGAAGCCUGAUGCAGCGACGCCGCGUGCGGGAUGACGGCCUUCGGGUUGUAAACCGCUUUCGCCUGUGACGAAGCGUGAGUGACGGUAAUGGGUAAAGAAGCACCGGCUAACUACGUG
rnacentral:rRNA from 1 species